GCUGGCGGCAGGCCUAACACAUGCAAGUCGAACGGAGUUAUAUUGUAGCUUGCUAUGGUAUAACUUAGUGGCAGACGGGUGAGUAAUGUAUAGGAAUCUACCUAGUAGUACGGAAUAAUUGUUGGAAACGGCAACUAAUACCGUAUACGCCCUACGGGGGAAAAAUUUAUUGCUAUUAGAUGAGCCUAUAUUAGAUUAGCUAGUUGGUGGAGUAAUAGCCUACCAAGGCAAUGAUCUAUAGCUGAUCUGAGAGGAUGAUCAGCCACACUGGAACUGAGAUACGGUCCAGACUCCUACGGGAGGCAGCAGUGGGGAAUAUUGGACAAUGGGCGAAAGCCUGAUCCAGCCAUGCCGCAUGGGUGAAGAAGGCCUUUGGGUUGUAAAGCUCUUUUAGUGAGGAAGAUAAUGACGGUACUCACAGAAGAAGUCCUGGCUAACUCCGUGCCAGCAGCCGCGGUAAUACGGAGAGGGCUAGCGUUAUUCGGAAUUAUUGGGCGUAAAGGGCGCGUAGGCGGAUUAGUAAGUUAAAAGUGAAAUCCCAAGGCUCAACCUUGGAAUUGCUUUUAAAACUGCUAAUCUAGAGAUUGAAAGAGGAUAGAGGAAUUCCUAGUGUAGAGGUGAAAUUCGUAAAUAUUAGGAGGAACACCAGUGGCGAAGGCGUCUAUCUGGUUCAAAUCUGACGCUGAGGCGCGAAGGCGUGGGGAGCAAACAGGAUUAGAUACCCUGGUAGUCCACGCUGUAAACGAUGAAUGUUAAAUAUGGGAAGUUUUACUUUCUGUAUUACAGC
rnacentral:rRNA from 1 species